AUCCGGGUCCUGCGCGACGGGAGCCUCCGAACCUGGUCAGGUCCUGACGGAAGCAGCCAUAAGGAAUGUCUUUCGUGUGCCGCAGGGUGCCCGGUUUCU
rnacentral:SRP_RNA from 1 species